GCUAUGUUCAGUAUCAGUAUCUCUUCAUCCAUAGAAUUAGUGUCAGUUGAAUAACUAUUGAUAAUCAUGAAGAAUUUUGCCUUAGCAAUUCUUGUUAUUACCUUUAUAGUCACGGUACUUGGGAAUAACAACCCAGAUCCGCCUACUCAACCUGCGCGUAUUCGUCGUGAAGCAGAACCGGAAGCUGAACCCGGUAAUAAUCGGCCAAUAUAUAUUCCACAACCAAGACCACCUCAUCCGCGAAUCUAAUUUAUGAAGAAUAUGAAGCAGUUCACAUGAAAUACCAAAUAUUUAAUAAAAUAUUUUUAAUCAAUUCAUUAUAAAAUAUUGUAUUUAAUGUAAUGUAAUUUUAAAAUAAAAUUGAUUUUAUUAUUAUAAAAUCUA